AUGGCCAUAUCAUGUUGAAACACCAGUUCCCAUCUGAUCACCGACGUUAAGCAACGUUGAGCCUGGAUUGGAGACCGCUUGGGAAUACCAGG